CCAGCUUCCUCCUCUUCCUCCUCCAGCUCCAACUGCAGUGGCAAGGUCUGGGGAUUGAGAGGCCCGGCAUGACUAAGAGAUAUCGUGAAAUUACAACUCAACAAUGAAUUACAGCACAGGCUUUUCACAACUAAGAGACUGUCCAUCAUGGUGCCAGUUUUUCUCAAAAUGGCAUGUGUGCAUGAAAUUCUACAGGCAUAUGGGGUCGUGAUCUGCUAAUCUCCAGUUAUUAUACAAAACUACAGAUACUUGAAAACAGAACCAAAUAAAAAUUCUAGCAGAAGAAGACAAUAUAUGAAAUUUAAUAAUUCAUUUCCUGGGAAUGACAGCAGAAAGGUGAUGACAGAGGAAAGAGCCAAUAAAAUUUGAAGACAGACUACUUUGAAAAGGGACUUUCCAGCUAUCAGUACACUAUCUCACAAUUACCCUUGAACCAGAAGACAAUGAAUGAUUUGCUAAACAGAUGGCAUAGUCUAUGACAUGCAUCAUAUGUGUGAGCAAUCACAGAAGACUCCUUCCUGUUGCCUUGUGAAGAAGGCUCCUGCUUCCCCUUCACCUUCUGCGCGAUUGUAAGUUUCCUGAGGCCUCCUAGCCAUGCUUCUUGUUCACUCUGCGGAACUGUCCUGAGCUGAAAAGAAUAUGAGAAAUCGGAUUUUACGACAUGGUUAUAGGCGGAAGGGAUUUGCCUUGUCUCAGAUGAGACUUUGGACUGUGGACUUUUGAGGCUUACAUUUUUUAUUUUCCUAGCUGCCUAAAAGAAGAUUUGAUAAGAAAAAAUUUUUCUCUUAAUGACCUUAAAAUUUUCUCUUAAUGAACAAGGUCGUUCUGGACCUUGUUCUGGAACAAAAAUGAUCUAGUGAGAUUUAAUCAAUUAUACUCUGGAAGCAUUUGUGACGUCUAUAAUUUUUCCCAGAACGGAAAAUCAGCAACAGAAUCCUUGAGCUCAAAGAUAAUCAAAUCUAACUCCUGAGUUUCACAGACAAAGAUGCGGAGACCUGGGGGAAUAUCGUGACUUGAGAAGAUAACACAGCUGUUCUCUGAGGCAGUAAGUCCCUUGGCAUUACUGCUUUAACAGAAGCUGGGAGGUUUACAGUCUGUUUACUACUUGGGCAAAUCAUAUUAGCCAAGAAAGCAAAGUACUGAUGAAUUCAGUAAACAAGAUAGCCAUUAGAAAAACAGGAUUAAGAAAGGGCUUGAAAGAAGCUUCAAGGUGGUUAUGUUUUAAGAUUAUGAAGCCUUUGAUUCCUAGCCACAGCACUCAGUAGUUGUAAGACCAACUAAACAAUUCACUUCUGUCUUCUGCAAAUUGACUGGAAUUGCAGGACAUACCAUAUACCAUGGAGCUCCUAGGAGAUUCAGUGAAAUAGCAAAUAUAGAGUGUCUGGCAUGGGAUAUGCAGUCUAUCAAUGUUAGCCUUUGCUAUGUAAUCCAAAGUGAUUUAUUCCAUAAGGAAAAAAUGAGUUUGUUUUUUGUUUGCUUUUCUUGAAUUCAUCAGAACACAAGGCAGGGGUUUAUGGAAAUACAGUCUUGAAGAAAAAAAUAAGUAUUUUCCCCUGAGAGAUGGAAACACUUGUGAAAAGAAAUAAGUAGGAGCACAGGAGCUGGAGUAAUCCUCUAGAGCAGGGGUCCCCAACCCCAGUCUGUGGCCUAUUAGGAGCCCAGCCGCACAGCAGGAGGUGAGUGGUAGGCAAAUUAACAUUACCACCUGAGCUCCACCUCCUGUGAGAUCAGCAGUGGCAUUAGAUUCUUAUAGAAGCACGAACACUAUUGGGAACUAUGCAUGCGAGGGAUCUAGGUUGUGUGCUCCUUAUGAUAAUCUAAUGCCUGAUGAUCUGAGGUGAAACAGUUUCAUCCGAAAACAUUCCACCCACCACCCUGUCCAUGGAAAAAUUGUCUUCCAUGAAGGCAGUCCCUGGUGUCAAAAAGGUCAUCGACCACUGCCCUAGAGACUUUUUUUUUUUUUGAGAUGGAUUCUUGCUCUGUCACCAGGCUGGAGUGCAGUGGAGGCAUCUCUGCCCACUACAACCUCCACCUCCUGGGUUUGAGGAAUUGUCCUGCCUCAGCCUCCCAAGUAGCUGGAUUACAGGUGCAUGCCACGACACCCAGCUAAUUUUUGUAUUUUUAGUAGAGAUGGGGUUUCACCAUGUAGGCCAGGAUGGUCUCGAACUCUUGACCUUGUGAUCCGCCUGCCUCGGUCUCCCAAAGUGCUGGGAUUACAGGGAUAAGCCACCACACCCAGCCUAGAGACCUCUUUUAAAGGGACUCCUCAACAGGCUCCUCAGUCCAGGGUCUUUGCCCUCUCCCUUGUGGCUCCUGUCUCUCCAGGGCCAGCCAUGCAAAAGCACGUAUCUCUCAGAUCUCCCUUCCCUGGUGAUUCUUUCCAUUUUAAGGGUUUUAUUGAUAUUCAUAUAGAAAAACAAACAGAAAUAAUAUGUUGGGCAGGAGCAAAGGUUCAGGAAAUUUCAAAAGGAUCUUUUAGUGGUCACUUCCUGGGUUAUGCUAAACUGCAAAUGAUAUUAGAUUUACCUUUUUCAGAAGCUAUUUCUACUUUUAGACCGCCCUGUGGAAUGAUCCUCUUAUUAUUUCUGAUUCUUUUAUUCUAAAAAAUGGAGCAGUCGAAAUUUGCCGAAUGGCCAUGCUAUCACAACCCCAAAACUAUAAAAUUGUGCUAUAUACUUUUUAAACUUUUUUCUUAUAUAUAGAUUUUGUUCACCAAAUCACUGCCUCAAAUGUCUGGGAAAUUGUGCUGAGAGAUAUUAUUCUUAGGUAUUCUGUAUAGUAUUUGAAAGAUUAAGAAGUAUUAAAUAGCAAGCUUAUUAAUAAUUAUUUAUGCUUAUUAGAAACUUAUUAGCUACAGUAAUUUGGGGUUUCCAGUUACAACCAGAUGCUAGACUAAGAUCUUUGAGGAAAAGAACAUUGUCUCAUCUCUGCUUCUCUAACUAGAGUUGUAGGCACAUAAUAGAUUAUCAUUGAAUGGUCAAAUAAGUAAAAGAACUAAUAGAGAAAUAACAAUAAGCUGGCUGUUCAUUGUUCAGUGAAACCAAAUGGUCUUAAUUAUUUUCUAAAUGUAUGUUUGAUCUAAUUGUACUAUCAUUUUGAUCAAGUUCUUUCCUUAACAAGUACUUAAGGAUUAAUGAAAUCCUUUACAUAAAAAGUACUUUUUUUAGAUUAAAAAAUAGUUUGCAUUUUAAAACUCUGUAAAAUGCACACUAAUGUCCAAACUGAUGCCCAAUAUGCAGCCUAUAUCUACAGCAGCUUUUCAAAUAUUUGGAUGCAGAUUUUCAAGUCCUAACAUAUGCUGCUCCAAUUUCAUAACAAAUUUUACUUAGCAAAUGAAACCAACCAUGUAUUUUAGUUCCAAAAGAAAAAUAAAAUUAUUUCCAUAGGGUUACACAAAGAAUAAAAACUGUUGCAUUGAGAUACCAAAAACAUGUAGAACUAAUAAGUUCAGUGAAGUAUAAGAUAACUAAACAAAAUACAAAAAUCAAUAUACGAUAUACAAAAAUCAGUGGUAUUUUCAUACGAUGGUAAUGAACAAUCUGAAAAUAAAAUUAAGAAAACAAUUCUAUUUACAAUAGCAUCCAAAAUAAUAAAACAGGAAUAAAUUUUACAAAAGAAGUGCAAAACUUAUAUUCUCAUUUAUAAUGCUGAAAGAAAUGUUAACAGACCUAAAUAACUGGGAAGAUAUAUCACGUUCAUGGACUGAAGGACUCAAUAUUUUAAGAAGACAAUACUUUCCAAAUUGAUCUACAGAUUCAUUACUAUCCCUAUCAAAAUCUUAGCUCACAUUUUUGCAGAAAUUGAUGAACCAACUCUAAAAUUUGUAUGGGAAUUGAAAGAAUCCAUAAUAGUCAAAACAGUCUUGAAAGACAAAAAAGUUGGAGUACUCACACUUUGCAAUUUCAAACGUGCUACAAAGCUACAAUCAUCAAGACAUUAUGAAACUGGCAUAAAAUUUGACAUAUAGAUGAAUGGAAUAAAAGUGAGAGCCAAAAAUAUAGCCUCCCAUUUAUGACUUACUGACUUUCAACAUGGACGUCAAAAGCAAUUUAAUGGAGGAAGAAUAUUCUUUUCAACAAAUGAUGCUGGGACAACUGAGUAUCAACCUGCAAAAGAAUGAAGUUGGACUUCUAGCUCACACCAUAUAAAAAAAUCAACUUAAAAUUGAUCAAAGACUCUAAUGUCACAGCUAAAACUAGAAAACCCUUAGAAGAAAAUAUAGGCAUAAAUCUUUGUGACCUGUUGUUAGGCAAUGAUUUCUUAGAUAUGACACCAAACACACAAGGAAUAAAACAAACAAAUAGAUAAAUUAGAUUUAUUCAAAUAAAAAACCUUUGUGCUUCAAAGGACAAUACCAAGAAAGUGAAGAGAAACAGAAAGAAAGAAAAUAUUUGCAAAUCAUGAUAUCUGAUAAGGGAUUUGAAUUUAGAAUAUGAAAGAACACUGAGAACUCAACAGUAAAAAGACAACCCAAUUAAAAAAUAGGCAAAUAAUCUGAAUAGACAUUUUUCUAAAGAAGACAUACAAAUGACAAAAAGCCCAUGAAAAGAUACUCAACAUCAUCAGUCAUUAGAAAAAUAAAAAUCAAAGCCACAAUGAGAUACCAAUUUAUGUUCACUAAAAUGACUAUAAUCAAAAAGACAAAUAAUAACAAUGGUUGGCAAAGGUGUAGAGAAAUUAGAAUUUUCAUACAUUGCUUGUGGAAAGGUAAACUUAUACAGCCACUUUGGAAAACAGCUUGGUACUUCCUUCAAAUGUUAAAAAGAGUAACCAUGUGGUCCAGUAAUUCCACUCCUAGGUAUAUACCCAAGAGAAAGCAAAACAUGCUCAAAUAAAAACUUGUUCAUAAAUCUUCAUAGCAGCAUUAUUCAUAGCAGGCAAAAUGUGAAAACAACCCAAAGUCUGUCAGUUGAUAAACAAAAUAUUAUAUAUUCAAUACACAGAAAUAUUAUUGUCUGAAAAUGAAUGUAGUACUGAUGCUUCAACAACAUGGAUUCUACAAAGUGAAUAAAUCUUGCAAACAUUAUGCUACAUUAAAGAAGCCACUCACAAAAACCAUAUAUUGUGUACUGCCUUUUAUGUGAUAUAUCCAGAACAGGGAACUCUAUAGAGACAGAAAGUAGAAUAGUGCCUAGCCAGGCCUGGCCAGGAAGAUUCUGGGAGGCAAUGGGGAGUGACUGCUAAUAGAUACAUGAUUUCUUUUCAGUGUGAUGAAAAUGUUCUAAAAUUGAUUGUGGUGAUGGUUGUAUAACUGUGAAUAUACUAAGAACCAAAGAGUUGUGUACUUUAAAUGGUUUAAUUGUAUGGUACACAAAUUAUAUCUCAAUAAAGCUAUUAAAAAGAUGCCAUAGUUGAAUCUGUGUGCUGAAACUAGCUUUAUAGUCAAAUCUUCUCUCUCAUAUUUUAUAGAUAAUUUACUAAAGCAAAGCUAAUAAUAAUUUCAUAAUGAUACUCAUUCCAGAUGAGGAAACUAAUUAUUCUUUUAGGCUAAGGAAAUUAAAAACAAUUUCCUAUCUGAAGAUUCACUGACACAGGCAAGAAAGAUACCAUAUUUUUAAUGUCCUGCCUCAUCUAAAGAUGGCAGGGAGACUCUAGUUUGUAAUACAAUAGUAGGGAUUCAGAGUCAGCCACUUGGAGACCAAACAACUUGCUCAUGUGGUACAGCCCCAUAUCAUUCCUGAUUCCAAAAUGCAUCCUCUUUUAGGGAUAGGUGACCAUAAUAUUAUAAUGUCAUCUCACUUAGGCAGAGUCAUCUUCCUUAAAUGAGUCAACUCAUGGAAGACAAACACCAGGUGGGUAUGUCUCAGUGCUCAGUGGUGAUUCAAAAUUUUGGGCCAAACACAGUGGCUCAUGCCUCUAAUCCCAGUACUUUGAGAGGCCAAAGUAGGGGGAUUACUUGAGCUCAGGAGUUCAAGACCAGCCUGAGCAACAUGGCAAGACUCUGUCUCUACAAAAAAUACAAAAACUACUGGGUGUGGUGGUGUGGCGCAUGUCUGUGGUCUUGAGAGGCUGAUGCACGAGGCUCACUUGAGCACAGGAAGUUGAGGCUGCAGUGAGCCCACUGUUACAUAACAGUAACAGAACUGUUUAUCAGCAAAAAUAGAUUGCCUUGUGGAAGGUAGCAUCUAGAUACAGUAGAAAAUAAGGAGGUAAGUUGACAAGUAGGUACUUUAUAUCUCAGAGCAUGAUCUUUUGAUGAUAGAUAAUGUUAAGUUUCUGAACUUGCAAAUAUGUUAAUCAAAUUCUGGAACAUAGUGACUCCUCUUCAAUCAAUAUACUGUACUAUAUAACCACUCUAAGAAGCUCAGCCUUAAAAUUGUGAGCAUUAACCAUAUUGCUAUUUAUUUUAAAAUUACUUUAAGGCUAAAAACAGAUGAAUACCAAAUACAGUGCAUAAACUUUUAUUAAUUUCUCGAUUUAAAAAGUGCAAGUACGCAUACUGUUUAAAAAAUGGGAAACUUUAAAUAUUGACCAUGUAUUUGAUGAUAUUAUUGAAUUGUUAUUAACCCUCUUGGGUAUGGUAAUUACACUGUAGAUAUAAAGGAGAAUGUCUUUUUCUUAGGACAUAUGUGCCCACGUAUUUAAGAGUGAAGUGUCUUGACAUCUACAAUGUGUUUUCAAAUGUUUUAGAAAAAUAAAUACAUAUAGAGUGAGGAAAAUUGUAUCUUAGAACAUGUUGACAAUUGGUAAAUCUGAGUGAAGGUUAUAUAGGUGUUCAUUGUCUUAUUCUUUCAACUCUUUAGCAGCUUUUAAUUUUUCAAAAUUAAAAGGAAAAGUUAUAUUAUAAAUUAAUGACAACCAUAUCUAUAUUCAAUGGUCUCCUUUGUUUUCUGGCAUUAAUUCUACUCAUUUGUUUAUUUACUUAUGCAUUUGUUCAUAUGAUUAAUGUUUACUGAGCAUCUACUAUGUGCCAGAAGGUAAGAAUAAAUAGAUGAAUAUAGCAUGGCUCCUACCAUCAAAUAAUUCAUCAUAGCCUAUCACUUAACAGGAAAGGCCGCAUUUCAGAGUCUAAGAUGCUGCAGUGACUCUCAGGAGGUGGACUACAUUCAGAUCAAAGGAAAGGAAGGAGUAUGGAUAAACAUUAACAUCUAUUGAGCAUUCCCUUUACUGCAUCGAGGGGAGACCAAAUUAUGAUUGUAUGUCCCAGAAAUUCACUUAGAAGCUAAUAGAAAAAAUGAAACCAAAGCCUUUUGAGAGUUGAAAAUUUAUCAUGACAUAUGCUGGCUGCACAGUCAAAACUUAUCACUGCCCACGACUUCGGAAGCAUGACAGGAGAGCUGUGGGAGCCACUUCCUCGUCAGACGUGGUUUGAUAUGUCAAGUGAGAACCUGAGUAAAGCAAAGAGGUGAACUAUGACUUGGAAUCCUCCAGGCUUUGGCUUCCAUCACACUCCAUGAACUUGAUGCACAUAAUUUAAUGUAGGCCUCCACCCAAUAUCAUCAGUUCUCUUGCAUGUUGAACCCCCAGUUUCCUGGAUCUGACCAACAUGACCUUAAUGUUCCUAUCAGCUCGACUAAACUUUAAAGAGAUUUCUUCCUCAAUAUGGGCCUCUAACUUCCCUUUUCUUAGAGCAUUUACUUUAGAAAUUUUGCAAUUAUCAAUUUUUUCUCCCUAUUUUUGAGAUGUAAAUUUUCUACAACUCAGGAAUGUCUUUCUCAAGGACAUGAGAGAUAUCCCUUUGAAAUGUAAUUGUGAAAAAUGAUAGCACCUCUAUUUCAAUCUGUGUAGGAGAGUAGGAGCCUAACUCAGGUAAGUGACAUUUAGCAAACUCAGAUGGCCUAAACACAUUCACCAACUUCCCCACUAAUGUACUCCCUACUGGUUCAUGUCAGCAUUUAAUAAUCCUUCUGCUUUCUUUUCAGUGGAGCUGAGUUCAGUCUGUCUCUCUUCUGCAGUGGUCUUCUCUCCCAUUGCAAUGGUCUUGAGUAAAGUGUUCUUUGUUUGUUUUACUUGGAGAUGAUGUCAGUUCAAUAUUGAAGUCUCUCUUCCCUACUACAGUAGUUCAAAUAAAAUCCAUCUUGCCAUUCUUAACAAGUAUUGGUAUAAUUUCUCUUUAACAUUUCUCGUGUCUUUCUCUUAAUUGGUUUCUUCUCUUGUUUUACAGAGCAUGUUAGUCACUAGUUUCUUAAGUCUGAUGAAUGUGCUUUCAUUACAUUUUUAUAUUAAUUGACUGAUAUUUUGGAUGGACACAUUUAUACUGCUUGGUUAAAUACGAUUUUCUCUCAGAAUCAUGUGGAAAUUUCUCCGUUAUUUUCUAGUUUCUGUUUUUGCAGUUGAGAAGUCCAAUAUCAUUUUGCUUCCCUACAUUUUUAAAAAAUGUAACCUGUUUCCAUUCUUUCUUUCUUUUGGUAUUUUGCAUCUGUUUUUAAAAAAGCAAUGAUAUAGUUCCAAAACCAUUGAAGAGUAUAAAGGAUAUUAUAAUAACGUCAUUAUACCCACCAC
rnacentral:lncRNA from 10 species